rnacentral:rRNA from 1 species
AUCUUCCGCAAUGGACGAAAGUCUGACGGAGCAACGCCGCGUGAGUGAUGAAGGUUUUCGGAUCGUAAAGCUCUGUUGCCAGGGAAGAACAAGUGCUUGAGUAACUACAAGCACCUUGACGGUACCUGAGAAGAAAGCCCCGGCUAACUACGUGCCAGCAGCCGCGGUAAUACGUAGGGGGCAAGCGUUGUCCGGAAUUAUUGGGCGUAAAGCGCGCGCAGGCGGUGAUUUAAGUUUGGUGUUUAAGCCCAGGGCUCAACCCUGGUACGCACUGAAAACUGGGUCACUUGAGUGCAGAAGAGGAGAGUGGAAUUCCACGUGUAGCGGUGAAAUGCGUAGAUAUGUGGAGGAACACCAGUGGCGAAGGCGACUCUCUGGUCUGUAACUGACGCUGAGGCGCGAAAGCGUGGGGAGCAAACAGG